rnacentral:rRNA from 2 species
AAUCCAUAGGUUAAUGAGGCGAACCGGGGGAACUGAAACAUCUAAGUACCCCGAGGAAAAGAAAUCAACCGAGAUUCCCCCAGUAGCGGCGAGCGAACGGGGAGGAGCCCAGAGCCUGAAUCAGCAUGUGUGUUAGUGGAAGCGUCUGGAAAGGCGCGCGAUACAGGGUGACAGCCCCGUACACAAAAGCGCAUGUGCUGUGAGCUCGAUGAGUAGGGCGGGACACGUGGUAUCCUGUCUGAAUAUGGGGGGACCAUCCUCCAAGGCUAAAUACUCCUGACUGACCGAUAGUGAACCAGUACCGUGAGGGAAAGGCGAAAAGAACCCCGGCGAGGGGAGUGAAAAAGAACCUGAAACCGUGUACGUACAAGCAGUGGGAGCCCCACCACCAAAGCAUUUG